CAUGUCCCACUCACAGAGUUAUCUACAAAUUAGAUUUAGUGUGCAAGAGCCAAGGACCAUCAGAAAUAAGAUUUACUGGAGAAGCCAAAGUGUAUGAGCUGAAGAUGCAGGUGCAGGUGCACAGGAGGUGUGUACAUGUUCCUGACGGCUGUCACCUGCAGGUGCACAGGAGGUGUGUACAUGUUCCUGACGGCUGUCACCUGCAGGUGCACAGGAGGUGUGUACAUGUUCCUGACGGCUGUCACCUGCAGGUGCACAGGAGGUGUGUCCAUGUUCCUGACGGCUGUCACCUGCAGGUGCACAGGAGGUGUGUCCAUGUUC